CUCAAAUGUUUUGAUGUCUCUCUAUUCGCGCGCGCGUGUGUGUGUGUGUAUGUGUGUGUUUUAAAAAAUGGUUCAGUUGAAACUUAAGGUAUUGCUAUAAUUUUUAUUCUCCCAUUUGAAGACUCCAUAGCUGUCAGGCCUGGAUUCUCCAAGGUAUUUAAGCAUCAUUUCACUCGCUAGUUUAGUUCCCAACUACUUACUGGAAUCCUGAGCCCUGAUUCUCUUUACAGAUCAUGGGGAGAAUUAAAUACCUAAGGAAGGGAUCAGAAGAACCAGCAGAUCUGAGUGGAAAGAUACCUAAGGAAGCCAAGAGUGAAAUGCAGAGGAAAGGAGAGUGGCUUAGUUUCCCAAGUUUUAGACCUGAGGUGCCUGGCCAGACAUAAGCACCUCCUUCCAUUUAGGGACCUUGGCUGCAGACCACCUGUUAUUGUUAGAAUGUAAGCAAGGCCAUUGGCUGAAGUCGGUGAUUCUCAACCAAAGUGGUGCAUCACCCUGGCGUGCCUUGAGAUACUUCCUUUCCAGGGUGCAUCAAGGUGCCAUGUAAUGUUGGUGCUGUUAGGCGCGCAAACAUGAUUCACAAGAUAAACCCAGAGAUUUCAAUCGUAGUGUGAGAAACAUUCUGAUCUGUUGUCUUUCUGAGUUCUUUUCAACAGAAAAACUGCUGUUAUUACUGUUUCUUAGUAAAAAAGGGAAAACUAGAAGCUAGCAUUUUCCAAGGGGUGCUUCGAGUCUAAAAAGGUUGAGAACCUCUGGUUUAGGUAGAGUUUUGUUUUUCCCUUUUUUUCCCCCACUAUGAAAAUACUGAUGGCACAGUUAGUGAAUACAUUGAUUGAAGAAGGUCUGUCAGUGAGACUAUAAUCAGUUCUUAAGUAAGAAUUGUGGGAGAAUGAGAAAAAGGCGUGUAGUCUUUUUAUAGUGUUAAAAAUUCUCCAAAUAUCUUUAAAUUCAUUUUAAUCUAGGAAUUUUAUCGUUCCACCCUCUGUAUAUAACUUUUCCCCUUACAGAUCUAUCCAGUGGUGCUAACGCAUAAUUUAACCCCUCAGUUAUCAUUAGAGUUCCUUUAGUAUCUUUCAUGACUUGGAAAAAUUUAACCUCUACAAAUUUUAGUAAAUUUUCAGUAGGACCUUAAAUAGUUACAAGACUGCCUAUGUAUUCCUCCAUCAGACAUCUAACCAUGAGAAAUCUGCCUCGUUUGUCUUCGUAAACUUCCUCUACUUUUAACUGCUACUCUUUGUUAAUUGCAAUCAUCACUCUGUUGGAGCACAAGGAGAAGAAAUAGUUAUCAAUCCAUUUUGCUUUAAACCUAUUAGUAUCUUUUUCUAAAAGGUGCGUCUUGUAUAAUGCAUAUAUCUACAUCUUGAUCUCUUAGCCAAUUUGGUAUUCUUUUUAUUUGAGGAGUAUUCAUGCCUUUUAAUAGAGUGAGAGAGAGAGAGAACUGUUAGUCUAGACAUAGUAUUAUUUUACUAUAUCAUCCUUUAACUUUCACCAUUGCUGCCUUUUACUCCAUGCCACCAUUGUCACUCGUUAGGAUGUUUUGUGACGGAGAUAUCCAUUCCUUUAUCAGAGUAUUUAAGAAGGAUUGUCACCACAGUGUAUUCCAGUGGGGCUCAAGGUUUUGACCCCAUGAGCCAGAUGAAUGGUAUGGGGUUGGUCCACAGGCUGGAUCAUGCCCUGGGGCCAUCCCUGCCCAGCCCCACACACUGGGAUUGUGUCUCAUGCUGUCCUGUGUCCAUGUCCAGCGGGGCUCCCCACAAAUAUGUGGGCCAGAUGACACUGUCAGGGGCCGUAUCUGGCCCACAGGCCGGGGGCUGAGCAGCUCUCCAUUAAACUUAACAUACAAGAAAUGCUUUUCUUAUUUUCUAUCCAUCUCUGUACCUCCCCCUGAUUUAGCCAUAAUUUGCAAAAUAUUUACCACCAUACCCAAGUUACUUUUUUAUGUAGAUUUGUCAUAUUCUAGGUUUAACAUUGGAUCCCACAAACAACAGCCUGAGAUGCAUUUAAUUCUGGGUAACGCCUUUACCUUUGCUUCUCUGCCCCCCUGUCCUUGCAGUUCUCACUAUAAGGCUUGGUUGAUUUUUUUUUUUUUUUCUUUUAAACAGCCAGGAUUUUACCUACAAGUAUGAUUUAUAUCAUUCCACACCCAUUUCUUCAAGUUUACUUUCAACAUCUAUUUCAGUUUUAAUGACGGGGGGCUUCUGUUGUCUUUCAGACUCUCUUGGGUAGGAAUAAAAGUUCUGGAUGUUUUCUUACAAAAGCCUCUAGGUCUUGUUUUUAUCACUGAAAAAACCUACAUCUUCCUUGAAAUAAGAGUCAGCCUUGCAGGGUACCAAACAGAGCAGUGAUUCUCAAACUAUGAGAGAAAGCUCAAUGAGUUAACAGGCCAAAAAAUUGUUCAAGUGUAUAGCACUGUUAACAUGAAGGCUACUGAGGCUUCUACGGUGUGGCUUUGUGCAUUGCCAAAGUAGGCAAGGCUCACAGCAUAGGUGAGAAAUUACUACUUCCAGCUGCAAAGGAUAUGUGCUCAGUGAUGAUAGGACAGAAUGCAGCAUUGCAGCUAGAUGUGAUCCCACUUUUAAAUGACAGUUUCAUGCCAUAUUGUGGAGCAGCUCUUAGCAAGUGUUCAUCAGAGCCCAAAUUAUUCCAUUCAGAUAGAUGAGUCUACUGAUGUAUCAAAUGCUGCACCAGCUACUGGUGUAUAUUUGUUUUGCUACAGCAAUAGAAUUAAAGGAGGAAUUAGUUUUGCCGCACACGAGCAACUGGUGAAGAGUCACUCCCCACACAAGCAACUGGUGAAGAGCUUUUUAAAUUGUUAAAUACUUUUGUUCAAGACAAACCUUGAUUGGGGAUGUUGUUUUGGGAUUUGCAGCGAUGGAGCAUGGUCUAUGACAGGACAGCAUAGCAGGCAUUGUGACUAAGAAGUGGCCCCCGCAGCAACCUGAAAUCAUUGUAUGAUCAACAGACAGGCACUGGCUGCUAAGAAGAUGCCAGAGGAGCUCGGCGGUGUAUUUUCAGUUGCAGUAAAAACUGUAACCUUUAUAAAGUUAUGCCCGGUUAAUUCAAGAGUUUUUGGCAUUUUAUGCGAAGAGAUGGGGGCAAGCUUCACGCACAGGUGUUGGUAUGCUCAGAAGUCCAUUGGCUGUCCAAGGACUUGUGCAAGGUACUGACAAGAAUAUGUGAACUACGUGAUGAAGUCUGUAUUUUUCUUGUUCAUGGUAACUCCCCACUUCUGCAGUAUUUCAGUGACACUUGUUGGGUAUCUUUGUUGUCAUAUCUGGCUGACAUUCAAGCAACUGAAUUCUCUGAAUGUGUCACUUCAGGGAGAAGAUGCAAAAUGUGUUUGUUGCUAUUGAUCAGAUAGCAGGAUUCAUUAACAAACUUGAACUGUGGGCUUCACGUGUGCAGCAGGGAUCUGUUUGCAUAUUUUCAACGCUGGAGGACAUUGUGCAACAGUGCGGUGAUAUGUCAGUUGACAGCAUCCAGGACAUGGUUGUUCAUCACUAAGGGGGACUGCAAGAGCAGUUUGUGAAUACUUUCUUGAUGUGGGCUAAACCAAAUGUAAAUAGUGGAUCAGGAACCCAUUCACCUUUAAGUCAAUCCCCACAGAUGUGCUGUCCCCAAAAGAAGAGGAAAGCCUUAUCAACUUGUCAAGCGACCAGGAACUGUAGCACAAUUUUUUUACAAAUGCCAGCUGGUUAUCAAUAAGAUCUGAGUUUCCUGAGUUAACACUAUUAAAGUGCUCAUUGCUUUUUCUUCCAUCUACCUAUGCGAGUCAGGCUUCUCGGCAUUAACUGCAAUCAAAACGAAGUGUAGGUCCCAGCUUUCUGUCAAAGAUGACUUGUGUCUCUUCCUUUCUACAUUGCAACCUGCAUUGCACUACUUUAUGAAGUGAGGAAACAAACACACCCCUCCCAUUGCUAAAGUAGGACUGAUGGAUUUCAUACAGAAUUAAACGUUUAAGGACAAAUGAUAUCAAACAACGAUAGGUUAAGUGAAACUUUAACUUAACUGCUUCCAUUUAUAUUGCCCUUGAACUUAAAAUGAAUACUUUUGAAACUCAAACUAAUCUUUUACUAAUCAAAUCCCAUCAACUUUUUUAUUCAUUUUUGGAGAAUAUAGGCCUACUAUUUUCAAUUUGUUGCAUUGUUUUAGCAAACUAUGGGGAGGUGCAUUUUUUUUCAUAGUUAAGUGUGGCUAACUGUGACAAAGUUUGAGAACUCCUGAAAUGGACUUAAAAGCCUCUAGCUUAGUCAGGUUCUCUCUGGGAAGAUUCCACUCUCCUUUUUAAGUGUUCCUACACCUUCAGUUAAAAAAUCAUAUUUUUCCUCUCAGUUAAACUCGAUUAAACUUUUGUGUUUAAUUUU